rnacentral:ribozyme from 2 species
UUGUUAAUGUGGCCAAAAGAUAGUUGUAAGCCUAUGUAAACACAGAACAGCAA